rnacentral:tRNA from 1 species
CGGGGGGUAGCUCAACCUGAGCGGUCCCCAUGUGAGGGCCUCUAAAGACAAAGGGACCCUGCCAGGGGGACGGGUUGCCGGUUGGACUCCGGCCCCCUCGACCA